rnacentral:piRNA from 1 species
GAGGAUCCUGUAGCCAUAAAGAUUGCAG